AUGGGAAAUCCACUGCCUCUUCCUCAGGCAACAUCGGGAAAUCAGCCCCGCAAGGAGCGACCAAAUCAAAUCAGGGGACCCAGGCCCCGAUUGUCCCUCCGACGGCUACUGCCCCACCACCUCCUCCCCCCCCCCCCCCCAGUGGUGCAGAUCCUUGAUCCCAAAUACAAGGAUAUGAUAUGUUUCAACUGCAGCUGGCCUGGACAUUACGUGGGGAAUUGUGUGGAGGCGAAAAAAUGCUUUAUAUGCGCUGGGAAUCACAACGUCAACAAUUGCGCUGCCUGGGCAAAACCACAACCUGCUGCCACUUACUUCGGCAGUGCCGCUUCAGGGCUGGGUUUUUACCAUGUCAAAGUCCAUGUGGCAGCUGAAUCUAGCUGGUUGAACUACAAGAACUGUGCUAUUCUCAAGAUGGUUAAGGGAGAGGUUUCUGCCUCAGAUCUACUAAUUCAGUUAAAUGGGAUCUUUUGCAAGAACAAAGAGUGGCCAUGGCAAAUUAGAGAGUUGGAGAACAAGAAGUUCCUGCUGAGAUUUCCCCCCUUGGAAAAAUGUAGAUGA
rnacentral:rRNA from 1 species